UCGCUGCUACCUAUCCAAGGAUCUGUUCUAUAGGUUGUACGUCUUAGUCUGCGUAGAUUCCUAUUCAGACAAGCACACAAAUCUGGAAGAUGAAUUAUGGCUCUCAGGCUAGACCGUGAAUACUGUGAUGGUUGGGGGUGGCUUCUCACUUCCACCCUUCUUUCGAUGAAUGUCCCGUAUGUGACAUUUAUAGUUCCACACGGUGAAGGCCUGAGAAUGUUCUGACGGAU
rfam:Picea glauca, whole genome shotgun sequence.